UGGGGAAUAUUGCACAAUGGGGGAAACCCUGAUGCAGCGACGCCGCGUGGAGGAAGAAGGUCUUCGGAUUGUAAACUCCUGUUGUUGGGGAAGAUAAUGACGGUACCCAACAAGGAAGUGACGGCUAACUACGUGCCAGCAGCCGCGGUAAAACGUAGGUCACAAGCGUUGUCCGGAAUUACUGGGUGUAAAGGGAGCGCAGGCGGGAAGACAAGUUGGAAGUGAAAUCUAUGGGCUCAACCCAUAAACUGCUUUCAAAACUGUUUUUCUUGAGUAGUGCAGAGGUAGGCGGAAUUCCCGGUGUAGCGGUGGAAUGCGUAGAUAUCGGGAGGAACACCAGUGGCGAAGGCGGCCUACUGGGCACCAACUGACGCUGAGGCUCGAAAGUGUGGGUAGCAAACAGGAUUAGAUACCCUGGUAGUCCACACCGUAAACGAUGAUUACUAGGUGUUGGAGGAUUGACCCCUUCAGUGCCGCAGUUAACACAAUAAGUAAUCCACCUGGGGAGUACGACCGCAAGGUUGAAACUCAAAGGAAUUGACGGGGGCCCGCACAAGCAGUGGAGUAUGUGGUUUAAUUCGACGCAACGCGAAGAACCUUACCAAGUCUUGACAUCCCUUGACAGACAUAGAAAUAUGUAAUCUCUUCGGAGCAAGGAGACAGGUGGUGCAUGGUUGUCGUCAGCUCGUGUCGUGAGAUGUUGGGUUAAGUCCCGCAACGAGCGCAACCCCUAUGGUCAGUUACUACGCAAGAGGACUCUGGCCAGACUGCCGUUGACAAAACGGAGGAAGGUGGGGAUGACGUCAAAUCAUCAUGCCCUUUAUGACUUGGGCUACACACGUACUACAAUGGCGUUAAACAAAGAGAAGCAAGACCGCGAGGUGGAGCAAAACUCAGAAACAACGUCCCAGUUCGGACUGCAGGCUGCAACUCGCCUGCACGAAGUCGGAAUUGCUAGUAAUCGUGGAUCAGCAUGCCACGGUGAAUACGUUCCC
rnacentral:rRNA from 1 species